GACGAACGCUGGCGGCGUGCUUAACACAUGCAAGUCGAACGGUGACCUCGAGAGCUUGCUCUCGGGCGAUCAGUGGCGAACGGGUGAGUAACACGUGAGUAACCUGCCCCAGACUCUGGAAUAACCCCGGGAAACCGGAGCUAAUACCGGAUACGAGACGGAGUCGCAUGGCUACCGUCUGGAAAGUUUUUCGGUCUGGGAUGGACUCGCGGCCUAUCAGCUAGUUGGUGAGGUAACGGCUCACCAAGGCGACGACGGGUAGCCGGCCUGAGAGGGCGACCGGCCACACUGGGACUGAGACACGGCCCAGACUCCUACGGGAGGCAGCAGUGGGGAAUAUUGCACAAUGGGCGAAAGCCUGAUGCAGCGACGCCGCGUGAGGGAUGACGGCCUUCGGGUUGUAAACCUCUUUCAGCAGGGAAGAAGCGCAAGUGACGGUACCUGCAGAAGAAGCGCCGGCUAACUACGUGCCAGCAGCCGCUGUAAAAC
rnacentral:rRNA from 1 species